rnacentral:rRNA from 2 species
AGUUUGAUCCUGGCUCAGGAUGAACGCUGGCGGCGUGCUUAACACAUGCAAGUCGAACGAGCCUUCGGGCUAGUGGCGGACGGGUGAGUAACGCGUGGGAAUCUGCCCUCAGGAGGGGGAUAACGGCCGGAAACGGCCGCUAAUACCCCAUAUGCCGAGAGGUGAAAUGAAUUUCGCCUGAGGAUGAGCCCGCGUCUGAUUAGCUAGUUGGUGGGGUAAUGGCCCACCAAGGCGACGAUCAGUAGCUGGUCUGAGAGGAUGAUCAGCCACACUGGGACUGAGACACGGCCCAGACUCCUACGGGAGGCAGCAGUGGGGAAUUUUCCGCAAUGGGCGAAAGCCUGACGGAGCAACGCCGCGUGAGGGAUGAAGGCCUCUGGGCUGUAAACCUCUUUUCUCAAGGAAGAAGACAUGACGGUACUUGAGGAAUAAGCCACGGCUAAUUCCGUGCCAGCAGCCGCGGUAAUACGGGAGUGGCAAGCGUUAUCCGGAAUUAUUGGGCGUAAAGCGUCCGCAGGCGGCCUUGUAAGUCUGUCGUUAAAGCGUGGAGCUUAACUCCAUUUCAGCGAUGGAAACUACAAGGCUUGAGUGUGGUAGGGGCAGAGGGAAUUCCCGGUGUAGCGGUGAAAUGCGUAGAUAUCGGGAAGAACACCAGUGGCGAAGGCGCUCUGCUGGGCCAUAACUGACGCUCAUGGACGAAAGCCAGGGGAGCGAAAGGGAUUAGAUACCCCUGUAGUCCUGGCCGUAAACGAUGAACACUAGGUGUCGGGGGAAUCGACCCCCUCGGUGUCGUAGCUAACGCGUUAAGUGUUCCGCCUGGGGAGUACGCACGCAAGUGUGAAACUCAAAGGAAUUGACGGGGGCCCGCACAAGCGGUGGAGUAUGUGGUUUAAUUCGAUGCAACGCGAAGAACCUUACCAGGGUUUGACAUCCUGCGAAUCCCUUGGAAACGAGGGAGUGCCUUCGGGAGCGCAGAGACAGGUGGUGCAUGGCUGUCGUCAGCUCGUGUCGUGAGAUGUUGGGUUAAGUCCCGCAACGAGCGCAACCCACGUCUUUAGUUGCCAGCAUUCAGUUGGGCACUCUAGAGAGACCGCCGGUGAUAAACCGGAGGAAGGUGUGGAUGACGUCAAGUCAUCAUGCCCCUUACAUCCUGGGCUACACACGUACUACAAUGCUACGGACAAAGGGUUGCAAGCUCGCGAGAGUUAGCUAAUCCCAUAAACCGUGGCUCAGUUCAGAUCGUAGGCUGCAACUCGCCUACGUGAAGGAGGAAUCGCUAGUAAUCGCAGGUCAGCAUACUGCGGUGAAUACGUUCCCGGGCCUUGUACACACCGCCCGUCACACCAUGGAAGUUGGCCAUGCCCGAAGUCGUUACUCCAACCCUUGUGGAGGAGGACGCCGAAGGUGGGGCUGAUGACUGGGGUGAAGUCGUAACAAG